CGCCUGCCUGCCGAGGAGGAAGUCUGGGGCCUAGCGGGGCUCAGAGGCCCUACUGCCCCGGCUUGGGCCGCAUGGGUGGCCGCACCGGCCACCAUGGCCCUGGGUCCCGAGGGCUUGGCGCUGGAGUCCGGUGAGGGGCUGGGCGGGGCCGGGCUGGAGUUGGGGGGCUGGCCAUGGGGUGUCGGUGAUGGCGCAUGUGGCCAGAAGGUAUCCUCCCGUGGCUCCGCCUGCUGCUGUCUCCGCCCCGAGGACCAAGGUGGAUGCCCUGUCCCUUGCAGCCUCAGUUUCCCUAUGAGGACCCCAGAGGGUCUAGGUGGACGUUUGGGGAUUUUGUGCCACCAGGAGGUGGUGAGUGAGCGCCUGCUGUAUACAGGCCUAGCACGCGCGCCGGCUGGAGACCCAGAGGUUGGGUGGGGGGGUCUGUGAGCCCCCUGUGGGCCGGGCUGGGUCCCCUGGGCACCCGAGUAGCACGCAUUGUCCGCGUCCCCCCCUGCGGUCACUUCGUUUCUCUGGGGCACCCGCGCCGGCUCUGCGCAGCCUUCCGCCCCACCUCCCGAGGGUACGUGGGAGGAUUCAAAACCGCUCGCAUGCACACUGCCGGGUGCCCGGGGCCGCGGUGCGUGGGCGCUGCGGCCAUUUGUUGUUAUUAUUGUUGCUAAAUACAUCCUCCCCUCUUCACCGUGACUCUCAGUAGAGGUGGCAUGAUCCCCAUUUGACUCAGCUUUCGUCUGCAGAUGGGGAGGACUGGCUGGUCCGCAUCUGGGUUGGUUGCAUGUGGGGACGGUGACGCCCUCCUGCUGAGAUGUUGGGUGUCCCAGAGGCCAGGCUCUGCUGUGGGGGCUUUCUUCUGGCCCCCCUCUGUGUCACUGGCAGUUUUCUCAAGCCCUGGGUCCGGGUGAGCUGACCUGGGCCCGUCCUGAGGCCGAGGGCUGGGGUUUGGUCUCCCUGCCCGUGUCAGCUCCGUGCAGUGGGGGAGAGAUGGGGAUCUGGGGGCGGUGGGCCAGGCGGCGGUGGCCUGGUGGCUGCCUCACAGCGUCCCCUUCUCUCUGCAG
rnacentral:lncRNA from 1 species